GAGUGAACGCUGGCGGUAGGCCUACCCCAUGCAAGUCGAACGGCAGCGCAGUAAGAGCUUGCUCUUACGGGUGGCGAGUGGCGGACGGGUGAGGAAUACAUCGGAAUCUACUUUUUCGUGGGGGAUAACGUAGGGAAACUUACGCUAAUACCGCAUACGACCUACGGGUGAAAGCAGGGGAUCUUCGGACCUUGCGCGAUUGAAUGAGCCGAUGUCGGAUUAGCUAGUUGGCGGGGUAAAGGCCCACCAAGGCGACGAUCCGUAGCUGGUCUGAGAGGAUGAUCAGCCACACUGGAACUGAGACACGGUCCAGACUCCUACGGGAGGCAGCAGUGGGGAAUAUUGGACAAUGGGCGCAAGCCUGAUCCAGCCAUACCGCGUGGGUGAAGAAGGCCUUCGGGUUGUAAAGCCCUUUUGUUGGGAAAGAAAAGCAGCAGGUUAAUACCCCGCUGUUCUGACGGUACCCAAAGAAUAAGCACCGGCUAACUUCGUG
rnacentral:rRNA from 1 species